rnacentral:rRNA from 1 species
GGCUAAAACAGUCAGGAUGUUGGCUUAGAAGCAGCCAUCAUUUAAAGAAAGCGUAAUAGCUCACUGAUCGAGUCGUCCUGCGCGGAAGAUGUAACGGGGCUAAGCCAGUCACCGAAGCUGCGGAUAUGCGUAAGCAUAUGGUAGGAGAGCGUUCUGUAAGCCUGCGAAGGUGGCUUGUAAAGGCUGCUGGAGGUAUCAGAAGUGCGAAUGCUGACAUGAGUAGCGAUAAUGGGGGUGAAAAGCCCCCACGCCGUAAGCCCAAGGUUUCCUGUUCAACGUUCAUCGGAGCAGG